AUGGAGAGGAGAAGCAGAAGGCAAAUUUCCUCGCUGCUGAUGAUUUUCAGCCACCGCUCAUUCCUGAGAAGACAAUUCCUGAUCCAGAUGACAAGAAGCCUGAGGAUUGGGAUGAGAGGGCAAAGAUUCCUGACCCUGAUGCAGUAAAACCUGACGACUGGGAUGAGGAUGCUCCGAUGGAAAUUGAAGAUGAGGAUGCUGUGAAACCUGAAGGAUGGCUGGAUGAUGAGCCUGAGGAGAUAGAUGACCCUGAGGCCACAAAACCUGAGGAUUGGGAUGAUGAGGAGGAUGGUGAAUGGGAGGCCCCAAAGAUUGAUAACCCAAAGUGUGAAGCAGCCCCUGGAUGCGGCGAGUGGAAGAGGCCAAUGAAGAGGAAUCCUGCCUACAAGGGCAAAUGGCAUGCUCCACUUAUU
rnacentral:lncRNA from 1 species